UGUUGUUUGUUGGUUUCUAAUACUUUCCCUUUGGUUUUACUGUGCUUAUUCCGCAGGUUUCUGGAAAUUUACUGAGAAAAAGUCUCACAGCAUCCUCAGCGACCACAAGCCUCACAAACUGUACCUCCUGUUUGAGUGCCAUUCAGCACAGAACAAAACACCCAGUCCUGCCUCUGUAGCUGCUCUGAGAUCUGCUAUCUCUGAAAAUACUGGUUUCAGGUGUGGGCUGGAAAGUGACAGUUCUUUCCCACCUUGACUGUGUAACUCACCAUCCCUUACA
rnacentral:lncRNA from 1 species